CUUCCGCCGGCGACCGGCGCACGGGUGAGUAACACGUAUGCAACCUGCCCCUGUCAGGGGGACAACCCGCCGAAAGGCGGGCUAAACCCGCGUACAUGCCACCGGGGCAUCCCGGAGGCAGGAAAGGCUUCGGCCGGACAGGGAUGGGCAUGCGGCGCAUUAGGCAGUAGGCGGAGUAACGGCCCACCUAACCGACGAUGCGUAGGGGUUCUGAGAGGAAGGUCCCCCACACUGGUACUGAGACACGGACCAGACUCCUACGGGAGGCAGCAG
rnacentral:rRNA from 1 species